GGAGCCUCAGCCUCUGGUGAAACUGGACUUUCAAGUCUGUGCAGGUGAAGGUGUGUGAGAGCGCCCGAGAUGGCAGAACAAGAGCUACAGAUGUCUGGGCUCAGGACAGUUUUGCGUCCCUGUGGAGACUACCAUUUACCCCUCUUUGCAAGGCACAGCUGCAUCUGGAAUCAACUUACGAUGGAUUGAUGUGGAAGAUUUGGGAAGUGGGCAGAUUGCAUCAGAAAAACCUCCAGAUUCUUCAUGCUGAUAAGACUCUUGAAAACUUACAUCGAAACUGAAGGAAAUGGAGGUAUUGUCCUCCAUCAGUCCCUUGACAUCUAACCCUGGCAUGGCUUCUGCUUCUCAGAGGACAUGAACAAACACAGAAGCCUCUACCCUUCUCUCUUUUAAAGUCAGUCUCACCCACCCCCAGCUGUUUCCUGGAGGAAACGCAUGUGCUCACAGAUGUGGGCUACCCAACACCACUCCUGUCCCCCCCACUCCUGCUCCUGCCCUGGCUUCCCGGAGAGAUGGCUGCACCACAGUCUCUGAUGUUCCCAAAGCCUCAUGAAGUCUCCUACUUAUUGCGCCACAUCUGCUCCUGUCUGUGGGCCCCCUGACGCCCACUUCUGCUGAUGCCGUGGGACUCAUAAUACACCAGAACCCUGUGCUUACCUGAGGUCAUGCCCACUGCAGACAAAAGUAGCCAGGCCUGUCUGCUCAGACGAGUGCCUCACCCUUACCUCACUACAAGGGUCCCUGUGGACAGCUGCCUUGUGCUGCCAUUGUCACAUCUGACUUUUUGUGAGAAGAGGUCAUUUCAUUUUUACCCACA